AGCGAACGCUGGCGGCAGGCCUAACACAUGCAAGUCGAGCGGCCGUAGCAAUACGGCAGCGGCAGACGGGAUAGUAACACGUGGGAACGCGCCCUUCGGUUCGGAAUAACUCAGGGAAACUUGAGCUAAUACCGGAUACGCCCUUACGGGGAAAGAUUUAUUGCCGAAGGAACGGCCCGCGUCCGAUUAGCUAGUUGGUGAGGUAAUGGCUCACCAAGGCGACGAUCGGUAGCUGGUCNGAGAGGAUGACCAGCAUCACUGGGACUGAGACACGGCCAGACUCCUACGGGAGGCAGCAGUGGGGAAUAUUGGACAAUGGGCGCAAGCCUGAUCCAGCCAUGCCGCGUGGAUGAUGAAAGGCCCUAGGGUUGUAAAGUCCUUUUAACGGGGAAGAUAAUGACGGUACCCGUAGAAUAA
rnacentral:rRNA from 1 species